ensembl:lncRNA novel transcript
CCAGGGCAGGUCCUCCUCAGGCAGGUGGCAGGUGGCCAGAAGCAGCAGCAGCACCUGGCUAGCGUGGACAUCCUGUGGUGAAGUCACAGACUUCUGCUUGCUCCAGCACCACCACCAGCCUCCUUGGAUUUUCAGAGCCUGCCUCUGUCCCCAGGGGUGGCCUUGGCAAAAGAGGAAGUCAAAUCUGGAACCAAGGGGUCCCAGCCCAUGUCCCCCUCUGAUUUCCUAGACAAACUUAUGGGGCGAACAUCUGGAUAUGAUGCCAGGAUUCGGCCCAAUUUUAAAGGCCCACCCGUGAACGUGACCUGCAACAUCUUCAUCAACAGUUUCAGCUCCAUCACCAAGACCACAAUGGACUACCGGGUGAAUGUCUUCUUGCGGCAACAGUGGAAUGACCCACGCCUGUCCUACCGAGAAUAUCCUGAUGACUCUCUGGACCUCGAUCCCUCCAUGCUGGACUCUAUCUGGAAGCCAGACCUCUUCUUUGCUAAUGAGAAAGGGGCCAACUUCCAUGAGGUGACCACGGACAACAAG